CAGUGUUGAAACACCAGUUCAUGUAUGGUCACCAAAGUGAAGCAACGUCAAGCCUGGUCAGUAUCAUGAUGGGUGAACACUUGGGAAUAUUAGGUGCUGUAAG